rnacentral:rRNA from 1 species
GAUGAACGCUGGCGGCGUGCUUAACACAUGCAAGUCGAACGGAAAGGCUCCUGCUUGCAGGGGUACUCGAGUGGCGAGCGGGUGAGUAACACGUGGGUGAUCUGCCCUGCACUUCGGGAUAAGCCUGGGAAACUGGGUCUAAUACCGGAUAGGACGAUGGUUUGGAUGCCAUUGUGGAAAGUUUUUUCGGUGUGGGAUGAGCUCGCGGCCUAUCAGCUUGUUGGUGGGGUAAUGGCCUACCAAGGCGUCGACGGGUAGCCGGCCUGAGAGGGUGUACGGCCACAUUGGGACUGAGAUACGGCCCAGACUCCUACGGGAGGCAGCAGUGGGGAAUAUUGCACAAUGGGCGCAAGCCUGAUGCAGCGACGCCGCGUGGGGGAUGACGGCCUUCGGGUUGUAAACUCCUUUCGCUAGGGACGAAGCGCAAGUGACGGUACCUGGAGAAGAAGCACCGGCUAACUACGU